rnacentral:rRNA from 1 species
UGGCUCAGAACGAACGCUGGCGGCAGGCUUAACACAUGCAAGUCGAGCGCCCAGCAAUGGGAGCGGCGCACGGGUGAGUAACACGUGGGAACGUGCCCUAUGGUUCGGAAUAACGCAGGGAAACUUGCGCUAAUACCGGAUAAGCCCUAACGGGGAAAGAUUUAUCGCCAUUGGAGCGGCCCGCGUCCGAUUAGCUAGUUGGUGGGGUAAAAGCCUACCAAGGCGAGGAUAAGUAGCUGGUUUGAGAGGAUGAUCAGCCACACUGGGACUUUUUCUCGGCCCAGACGAAUACGGGAGGCAUCAGU